rnacentral:rRNA from 1 species
CUUCGGGGUGUGACUGCGUACCUUUUGUAUAAUGGGUCAGCGACUUAUAUUCUGUAGCAAGGUUAACCGAAUAGGGGAGCCGGAGGGAAACCGAGUCUUAAUUGGGCGUUAAGUUGCAGGGUAUAGACCCGAAACCCGGUGAUCUAGCCAUGGGCAGGUUGAAGGUUGGGUAACACUAACUGGAGGACCGAACCGACUAAUGUUGAAAAAUUAGCGGAUGACCUGUGGCUGGGGGUGAAAGGCCAAUCAAACCGGGAGAUAGCUGGUUCUCCCCGAAAGCUAUUUAGGUAGCGCCUCGUGAAUUCAUCUCCGGGGGUAGAGCACUGUUUCGGCUAGGGGGCCAUCCCGGCUUACCAACCCGAUGCAAACUGCGAAUACCGGAGAAUGCUAUCACGGGAGACACACGGCGGGUGCUAACGUCCGUCGUGAAGAGGGAAACAACCCAGACCGCCAGCUAAGGUCCCAAAGUCAUGGUUAAGUGGGAAACGAUGUGGGAAGGCCCAGACAGCCAGGAUGUUGGCUUAGAAGCAGCCAUCAUUUAAAGAAAGCGUAAUAGCUCACUGGUCGAGUCGGCCUGCGCGGAAGAUGUAACGGGGCUAAACCAUGCACCGAAGCUGCGGCAGCGAACGUAUCACCCAAGACAACUUUACGGAGUUGACGAUUGACGGAGCGAAGCGACGUCAAAGCGUUCAUUAAAGUCGAGUUGGCUUAGGGAUACGUUCGUUGGGUAGGGGAGCGUUCUGUAAGCCGUUGAAGGUGGCCUGUGAGGGUUGCUGGAGGUAUCAGAAGUGCGAAUGCUGACAUAAGUAACGAUAAAGCGGGUGAAAAGCCCGCUCGCCGGAAGACCAAGGGUUCCUGUCCAACGUUAAUCGGGGCAGGGUGAGUCGACCCCUAAGGCGAGGCCGAAAGGCGUAGUCGAUGGGAAACGGGUUAAUAUUCCCGUACUUGGUGUUACUGCGAAGGGGGGACGGAGAAGGCUAUGUUGGCCGGGCGACGGUUGUCCCGGUUUAAGCGUGUAGGUGUGUGUUCCAGGUAAAUCCGGUUCACUUUAACACUGAGGCGUGACGACGAGGCACUACGGUGCUGAAGCAACAAAUGCCCUGCUUCCAGGAAAAGCCUCUAAGCAUCAGGUAACAUCAAAUCGUACCCCAAACCGACACAGGUGGUCAGGUAGAGAAUACCAAGGCGCUUGAGAGAACUCGGGUGAAGGAACUAGGCAAAAUGGUGCCGUAACUUCGGGAGAAGGCACGCUGACACGUAGGUGAAGUGAUUUACUCAUGGAGCUGAAGUCAGUCGAAGAUACCAGCUGGCUGCAACUGUUUAUUAAAAACACAGCACUGUGCAAACACGAAAGUGGACGUAUACGGUGUGACGCCUGCCCGGUGCCGGAAGGUUAAUUGAUGGGGUCAGCGCAAGCGAAGCUCCUGAUCGAAGCCCCGGUAAACGGCGGCCGUAACUAUAACGGUCCUAAGGUAGCGAAAUUCCUUGUCGGGUAAGUUCCGACCUGCACGAAUGGCGUAAUGAUGGCCAGGCUGUCUCCACCCGAGACUCAGUGAAAUUGAACUCGCUGUGAAGAUGCAGUGUACCCGCGGCAAGACGGAAAGACCCCGUGAACCUUUACUAUAGCUUGACACUGAACAUUGAGCCUUGAUGUGUAG